GAUGAACGCUGGCGGCGUGCCUAAUACAUGCAAGUCGAGCGAACAGGCGAUGACAUUGCUCCUCUGACGUUAGCGGCGGGGGGGUGAGUAACAAGUGGAUCACCUUCCUGUAAGACUAGAAUAACUUCGGAAAGGCGGUAAUAAUAGAGGAUGAUAUAUUGAAACACAGGGUCCGAUGGUAAAGCAAGGGUUUGCUGUGACGUAUAGGUGGAUCAGCGGCGCAUUGGCUAGUUGGUAAGGUAACGGCUUAACAAGGCAACGAUGCGUAGCCGAGCUGAGAGGCUGAUCGGCCACACUGGAACUGAGACACGGACAAGACGCCUAGGGUAGGCAGCAGUAGGGAAGCAUGCGAAAAGGGCGAAAGCUUGACGGAGCAACGCCGCGUGAGUGAUGAAGGUCUGAGGAGCGUUAAACUGUGUUACUAGGUAGGAACAGAUGUGAAUCUAACUAUGCACGUCUUGACGGUACCUAAACAGAAAGCCACGGCUAACUACGUG
rnacentral:rRNA from 1 species